ACGUAGGCAGCAAGCGUUGUUCGGAAUUACUGGGCGUAAAGAGUGCGUAGGUGGUUGGUUAAGUUUGGUGUGAAAUCUCCCGGCUCAACUGGGAGGGUGCGCCGAAAACUGGCUGGCUAGAGUGUGGGAGAGGGAAGCGGAAUUCCUGGUGUAGCGGUGAAAUGCGUAGAUAUCCGGAGGAACACCAGAGGCGAAGGCGACACCCUGGGCCGUACCUGACGCUAAGACGCGACAGCACGGGGAGCGAACGG
rnacentral:rRNA from 1 species